GCUGGGGCUGUAGCUCAGUGGUAGGGCACUUGCCUUGCAUGUGUGAGGCACUGGGUUUAAUCCCCAGCCCUGCA
rnacentral:tRNA from 1 species